GUGCCAGCAGCCGCGGUAAGACGUAGGGGGCCAGCGUUGUUCGGAAUUACUGGGUGUAAAGGGUUCGUAGGCGGUGUGGCAAGUCGGGAGUGAAAUUUCUGGGCUCAACCCAGAGACGGCUUCCAAAACUGCCGUGCUUGAGUGUGAGGGAGGCUCGUGGAAUUGCAGGUGUAGCGGUGAAAUGCGUAGAUAUCUGCAGGAACACCCGUGGCGAAAGCGGCGAGCUGGAUCACUACUGACGCUGAAGAACGAAAGCUAGGGGAGCAAACAGGAUUAGGAACCCUAGUAGCCC
rnacentral:rRNA from 1 species